AGGGUUCGAUUCUGGCUCAGAUUGAACGCUGGCGGCGUGCUUAACACAUGCAAGUCGCGCGUGAAAGGACUUCGGUCCGAGUAAAGCGGCGCACGGGUGAGUAACGCGUGGAUGAUCUACCCAUGAGUUAGGAAUAACGGCUGGAAACGGUCGCUAAUACCAAAUACGCUCCGAUUUCAACUUCGGGGGAAAGGUGGCCUCUGCUUGCAAGCUACUGCUCAUGGAUGAGUCCGCGUCCCAUUAGCUAGUUGGUGGGGUAACGGCCCACCAAGGCGACGAUGGGUAGCCGGUCUGAGAGGGUGGACGGCCACAUUGGAACUGAGACACGGUCCAGACUCCUACGGGAGGCAGCAGCUAAGAAUCUUCCGCAAUGGGCGAAAGCCUGACGGAGCGACGCCGCCGUGAACGAAGAAGGCCGUGAGGUUGUAAAGUUCUUUUCGGGAGGGGGAACAACCGUGGCAGGGAAUGGCCGCGGGAUGACGUGAAUCCCGGAAUAAGCCCCGGCUAACUACGUGCCAGCAGCUGC
rnacentral:rRNA from 1 species